UACGGAGGGUGCGAGCGUUGUCCGGAAUCACUGGGCGUAAAGGGCGCGUAGGCGGCCUGAUAAGUAGGGGGUGAAAUCCUGCGGCUUAACCGCAGGGCUGCCUUCUAAACUGUCAGGCUCGAGCACAGUAGAGGCAGGUGGAAUUCCCGGUGUAGCGGUGGAAUGCGUAGAGAUCGGGAAGAACACCAGUGGCGAAGGCGGCCGACUGGUCCGGUUCUGACGCUGAGGCGCGAAAGCGUGGGAGCAACAGG
rnacentral:rRNA from 1 species